CAGAUCCCACAUCACACCGCACGCUCUCCCUUUCUCCUCUCCUUCUUCUUCUCUCUCGCUCGCUCGGGUCGACGCCGGCUGUCAGUUUGUUUUGCCGCGGCGGAGCAACAACUUGCUUCUCUCUGCGCUCCGAGAACGGAAGAGUGGAAGGAGAGAAAGUGGUGGAGGACCGAGGGGAGGAGGUGAAGAUGAGAAAAGGAAGAGGAGGUGGGGAUCUUUUGUUACUCAUCCAUCCUCAUCCCCUCUCUUAGGGCAGCAUCAGCACCACUAACCUGCUCCAUCGCCGCCGGCUCCCCCGCCGCUGGAUCCUCCGUCUCCUGCCGGGAUCUGCCUCCUUCUUCUCCUCAGGGAGCUCUUCCUGGAAUUGGGAGGGGGAGGGAGAUCUCCCCCUCCCAGCCUGCUGCGGACUCUCGGCAAAAGGCGUCGGGAAAGGAAAGGGGAGGAAUUUUUUUCAAAAGAGGCCGUUGGGAGAGCAGAGGAGAGGCAACACCCUGGGUUACAGGAGAGAAGGAGAAGAGAGGACCUCACCAUGCCCGGGCUGCGCCCAGCGAUAGCGGCCGCGCGGGGGAGGACAGAUGUUGCCGGCGAACGCUCCCAGAAGACGGAGGCAGCGGCGUCCAGGUCGUGGUUGGUCCUCCCAAGGCAAAUUGGUCCCUCAGAGAACCCUUAUGCAGCAGCCACUUCAGAGGCAAGCUCUUUCUCCUGGGUGAGGGAGACCAGGACGCCCUCCUGCAGCCGGGCCUGGUGGGAUACUUGUCGGAACCACCAGGCCCAACACCAACUAACUUCUUGAGCAGCAGCAGCAAUGGAAACCCCCUGGGUGAAAGCACAGACAUUUUUGUAGCCAAUGGAGAAUGCAGACCUGUCAUUGGCCAUGUUGUGUUGGCGCUCUACUGUGUUUUUAAUCUUGCAUACCUUGUCACCUGAAAAACAUUUGUUUUUG
ensembl:lncRNA